CUGAUUUCCCUAGAGCCUGAUGGCCUCUAUUUAUCCACAGACCAAGUACAGCAUGCACAGCAGUAAUAUGAGCUUCCCCGCCCAUGCACUGCUAACUUGCCUCAACCCGGUCUUGGUAAGACCACCUCUAUAGGCAUGGAAAUAAAUCUAUUAUCUCGCCUAUUCAACCUAAAGCCUGC
ensembl:misc_RNA